CGCGCUCCUACUUCCGGGGCGGCUGGUUCUUCCCGUCCUCCCCACCCCGGGGACACGCUUCUAGUAGGCCAAACUCCCAGGUGACCCCCGCAAGAAACGCGGUCCGGAGAGGGUCUGGCCCCACUGCUGGGGCAAGGGCUCUAGGCGCCCGGACCCCACGCCCGCAGCCUGCGGAGAACGUGCCGACAAGGACCUGUAGGGCCCCACUCCCCCUCCUCCCUCCCUCGGCGCAGCCCGGCCCAGGGGUCUGUCCUCCCAGGCCCAGGAAAGGAGGAAACCCACUUCCGCCGCGUCCAUGAUCUCCCGCGGCUUCUCCUGACUCUUGCGGCUGGCGCUGGCGCUGGGCAUCGGGACACGGAACUGGGCAGUGGACACCACCCUCCCUCGCAGGCUUCCAGUGUUCUUUCUUGGAACCAUCUGCCAAGCUGUGAGGAAGCUCCAGAGCCAUAUGACAAGACCUGAUGGAGGAUAACUGAGGACUUUGGCCAACAACCCCAGCUGAGCUCCAGUUGGAAUGUGAAUGAGGCCAUUUUGAGUGUUCCAGCCUAUUGGAGCCCUAGCCAACACUCUACAAACUAGAACUGCCUGAUUGACCCGCAGAAUCAUAAGAAAUAAAGUAAUUUGAAGGCCUUCCCUGACUUAAAGUGGAUGCUGCUUUGGAAAGCACUGGAAAAAUGGAUCCUGUCUUUCUUAGCCAAGGACUGGUCUCUUUUCUCCAAUGUGUCCCUAACAGAGUGGUGAGGCUGGCUCUUCCCACCAGUACAGACAUGGAAUAAACUUGACAAGUGCUAAAGAUGCUCUUUGAUUUUUGUGUGGCAUGAGACCUCAGGCUGAAACUUCUCAUCUGAGCCAUUGAAGGGAGCCUCUCAUCUCUCCACCGAGAGGGGAGACCAGAAUGCUCUGUUUCUGGCAGGAAUCUGACACCACUUACUCCUUGGGUAGAAACUCCCCCAAGUCUGAACUAUGUGAUUGCCUGAGCCCUGCUUCUUGUUCAUUAAGACUGCUCCUCUGAAACGGAAUUGAUGAAUUUUUAGUGGCUAUUAGAAGCAUUUGGGAUCCAUAGGCAUCAGGGUUUGAUGCAUGGCCCUCAUCUCUGUGGGCUCCUGUGCAAUGAUUCUCAUCUGUCUUAGUUAGAAAGUGAAUUAAUCUUGACCUUGGCCUCAGGGGUGUGGUUCUCUGCCCUCUUACACAUCUUCAAUUCGCUUCUUUAUCAGAAGCACUUGUUUUAGGCCCAGGCUCCCCCAAUUUUAAUGACAUUUAGACAUUUGUCUUUAAGUUACAUUGCUUUGAUUUUAAUCAAAAUCUAUAUUUCUAGUAUUAUAUGUUUCCAGAAAGUUCUCAUUCUGGAUUGUAAUUUAAUUACAUGGAUCAUUAAAGCUUUGAAGGAUGCUAAUGGGCAGAAAAAAGAGACUUAACAAAACGAAAGUUAUUAUUAGGAAUUACAAAUCACUUAACAUUUCAACAUCACUCGUCGGAUGUGGGCAUUUUGUUGAAAGAGACCUUGUUUUGAACAGUGACAGUGCAGAAGACCUAUGGAAGAAACAAGCUUCCAACUUGAUUUCUAUUGUUAUGCAUGCAUAGCAAAUUAUUAAUUCUAUUCUAAUAGGGUAAUAGAUUUAGAAAUACUAUUAGCAGAAAACUUGAUGUAUUAGGCAAUACUACAUACCACAUUAGUCUAACCGCUCAACUGUAAUUUUUCAUCCAUACUUUCUUGGGAUGUAAAUAAAAUUGAUAUUAUACAAUGAAAAUAAAAUUGCCCACUAGUCUUGCUUAUUCUCUUGG
rnacentral:lncRNA from 10 species